rnacentral:tmRNA from 1 species
GGGGGCGAAACGGCUUCGACGUGUCUGGCGAGUUCGAGGCUGCGUGCCGAGGUCCGGGGACCUCGCAAAACUCCGGAAACGUUACAAAUGCCAACACUGACUUGGCCUUGGCCGCUUAACCAACAAGCAGCCCGCUUCCCGCUCUGCCCGCCCGAGGCGGGGCGAAGAGGCGUCGACAAUUCGGGCUGGUCCACCGAUCCCUGCCGCCGGAUCGGAGGACGAGACGACCGGUGGCUAGCCCGGGCAGGGCUGUUCGCCGUCCCUCCCGGUAGUGAACCCCAGCGGUGAUCUACGCACGUAGACGUCUUGAAGGACCCAUUCGCGGACGCGGGUUCGACUCCCGCCGCCUCCACUU